rnacentral:lncRNA from 1 species
GAUCGAGUUUCAUAAAGUGACGAGUGCGCAGUAGGCUCUAACCUCUAAGGCUUCGUUUGGUUCGGAUAUAAGUAUGAACUAGUUGUUUCAGAAAUAAGCAUAAGAUGAAGUAUAAAGUGAGUAUAGAGUAAUUGAGUUUAGUCUAGAUAUAAGUAGGGGUGGCAAUCCAGCUCGCUGUUCGCGAGCCAGCUCGUGUUCGGCUCGAAUGAGCUCGAGAUCGGCUCGCUCGUUUAGUAAACAAGCUGAACACGAGCUGGGGUCAGCUCGCUCGUGUUCGGCUCGAUAACAGCUCGAAUAUAUA